AUAUUCUAUCCUCUUCUACAGUCACAUCAGAGAAAGGUAGUUCUUACCAAUGGAGCAGUCUCGAUUCAGCUUGCUACCCUAAUGGAAUUGUUGGCUUUUCCACGGUUUUUAGAUUCCAAGAAAUUGUUCCUCAUGGUUUCCAUGUGCAGAAUCAUAUGGAAACCAUUAGAAACUGGUAUAGCAAAAUUUAACAAAAGAAAGGAGCUUCUUCGACGGUGAUGAAAUUUCCAGACGAAGAACAUUGUACAGUACUCACAAAGAUGUCUCUUAUAAGAGUUCACAAUGUUGAAUGUUUGAACCAGCUAAAGAUACAGAGAGAAAGAGUUAAGAGACACAGAAACAUCGUGGGAACCAAGCAGGCAAUUGACGGUUUUUGCACAAAUUUAGCACCACAAAGCUACAAUUGCUUCUAAGUUACAAAAGUUUUGCAAGUAUGAGCAUCGCGCAAGAAGGAUGUGUUUCUGAACAAAACCGUAAGUACAUUCAUCCUCAAGGAGAUUUUACACUAUCUCGUGUGAAUUCAUUAUCCUACCUAAAGAUAAUACAGCAAAUUAAAGAAGGCUUCAACGAUGAAUACUUGAAAAUCUUCAAGAAGACGUCAAUUGGGCAUUUACUUGAUAUGGAGCCGACCAAAUUAAAUGGUGCAAUUAUUAACUCUUUGCUACGAAGAGUGAUUGAGACUCUUGUAGGUGAUGAUCCAGAUUCUAUGUACUUUUGCAUUGGAGGUAAAGUUGUAAAGUACGGAAUUUGGGAGUCUGCACUCGCGACGGGUUUGAGUUUCAAGGGAAGUGAUGUUAUUCAUUCUCGUGGUUGUGCUGGAUCUGAGCUGAUUAAUAAAUACUUUCUUGGCAACAAAAGUAUCAAGUUGGAAGAGUUGUCAAGAAAAUUUGAUUCUGUCGAGCAGUCGGCAGAUAAAGCGAAACUCGGACUGGUUCUACUACUCCAGGGUGUUUUAAUGGGGGGCGAAUAUGGAAAAGAUGUAAAUCUUGCAUACUUCCACAUGGUAGAAAACAUUGAGAAGUUCAACAAAUUCCCAUGGGGAAAGCUGUGUCAACGGAGGAUGCUGAGAUGUUUUAGAAUUGCUGUCAGCGGGAAAAAGGAGGUGGAGCAAAUUGGAAAGGGUAAGCCUAAUGCAAUAAGCAAGUCAGCUAUUGCCGGGCCUGGAAGCUUUAAAUCUUGGUAUAAUUUGUAUGGUUUCCCAUACGCUUUUCAGGUCUGGGCCUUUGAAAUCAUUCCAAUUCUACGAGAGAGUUUUGCAAGUAGAUUACAACCGAAACAAUUUCCACUUGUGCUGCAUUACUUUUGUGACAGUACACGUCCAGAGUCUUCUGCAGUUGAAAAUAUACUGACAUCUAAGAUUGAAGUCCUGGCUUGCAUAAAACCCACAGAGAGGGAGAUGUCGUCAAAGCACAUGGGAUCUGUCCUCCUGAUGUCUGUUGACUUAUCAGAAUCAGAGGAUGAUGAUGAAGACAAAGCCGAGGAGAUGGAGAUAUCGAUGGAAAUGCAAUCUGCAAAUGAAACCUGGGAGGCAGCUAAGGGUAAGGAUGAUGAUUCAGAAACACAAGCACCCCAAUCCUGUUCUAACCAGGAUACCCAGCUUUUGGGAGAGGUUUUUGCACAGGUUAAGGAACUCACAUCAAAGGUUUCCAGAAUGGACAAAGAGAUGUCAAAACUUAAGGAAGAUGACAACGGCAAUAACCAGGCUUCUAUAAAGAUGCAGGAGGUUAUAGAUGAAGAUGAGAGGCUGAAAGGCCUUGCGAAUGACUUGGGUGAGGAGGUGUACGAGGCCGCCAUAACUGUUUUUUCGGAGAUGAAUGACUACAGUCUGAGCGGAAGGUAUAGUAUUCCUGAAUGGAGGAACUUUAAGAAUGGUGGAAUGGAGAUAUUGAAGGAAGUUGCUUCAUUUACGCUGGAACAGUGGAGGACCCUUAAGAAAACAUUUGAAAAUGAUAAAGAAAUCAAGAGUCUGGAAACGAAAAUGAAAGAAAUGGAGUACGAGAGUAAGAACUUGAUGUAUCAGAAUGAUGAGCUACGUAAACAUUAUAAUAAAGAAAUAAACAAGAUGCAACAGAACCAUAAGAAUCAUUUGGAAAGGAUCAAUAGGGAGCAUGAAGAUCUUAAGUCGGAAAUGGAAUCGCAAAGGAAAGAGAGGGAGGUACGCGAAAUGGUAUUGCGGAUUGCUGCAGAGAAAAAGUUUAUCCUCUUCCUGUAAUAGAAGAGGAUCUUCUCAAGAAAAGAACUGAACUGGAAAAAGAUAGGGCUGGAGGUAAACUGGAAUUAGAAUUUGAGGUAUCCAGCUAUAAGAUAAAAGGUGUGUGUGAGAAACCGGAAAAAAAGGAAAGACAACAUGAAUAUCUUGAAGAUCUGAACCAAAUCCUUAUUGCCAAGGAGCGGAAAAGCAAUGAUGAGCUGCAGGAAGCUCGUAAAGAACUGACCAGGAGAAUGGGAGAGCUUGAAAUGAAACCAUUUUAUGAGAUGUGCAAAGAGAAAUAUUGUAGUGAUGAAGCAUAUGUGAAAGCCGUAGAGAUCUGCACCUCCUGGGAAGCAUGUCUUACAGACCCACAUUGGCAUCCUUUUAAAAUCAUUGAAGUUGGAAAUAACCAUCAGGAGACAAUAAAUGAAGACAAUGAGAAGCUGAGAGGCCUUAGAAACGAGUUUGGUGAGGAAAUAUACAGGGCUGUCACAACCGCCAUCCUGGAGAUGAAUGAGUACAAUGCAAGCGGGAGGUUUGUUGUUUCGGAACUUUGGAACUUCAAGGAGGGGAGGAAGGCGUCAUUGAAGGAAGUAGUAUCUCAUAUACUGAAACAGUUGAAGACCCUUAAGCGGAAGAGGACCUGAUGUUAUUGUUAUGGGUAUAUUUCAAACUUACAGAAAGAAUGUUGUGCUGAAAUUGGAUGUAAAUGUAGAGAAACUUGAAGUUGGUGCAAGCAGCAUGGAUAUCCUCAAGGCCAUAAUGUUAUUCUCUGCCCCCACAUUGUUCUCCCCUUUCUAUCUUUAGCGGGAGGUCUGUAUGUGGUUUUAGCAGAGGCAGUUGUCAUAUUUAUGGUCGUAAUAUUUCGAAAUAUAUCACCAAGUUGUAAGCUUAUGUUUUAGAGCGGGGAAUGUAGCUAACACACUAGUGGUUUGUUUUAUUACAUUCAUCUGUCUAUUCUCCUUCAAAUUACAUAGAAACUUUGCGAGACUUGGAAUUGAACGAGUUUAGAUAGUAAAAAUUGAAUAAUUU